CGGCGCCUGCUGCUUGGACAUCCACACGUGGCUAGCGCCCGCCGGGGUGGCAGCUGUGCUGCUGAUGCCGUAGCUGCCCGUGUAGGUGACCUGGCCGUGCGUGGCCGGCACCCCCGGGUGGCCAUUGGGCGGCAGGUACUGGUCGAACUCGUUCACGUCGAAGGUCUCGAUGUUGGAGAUGACGUCGCUGCUCAGCUCGCCGAUGUCCACGUCGCGGAAGUCGAUGGGGGGCUGUCUGCCCCCCUCUGGCAGUGGGCGCCCCUCUCGCUUCAGCCUUUUUCGUCCUUCACUUUGAGAGCUGUAUGGUUACUGAAGUGUAUUAAGCCAUUUGGAGAUGAUGCGUGAGGCUCCGUGUCCAUCUCUGCGAGACCCCUGACAGGUUACCUGCAGCAAGCGGGAUGAAUUACAAGAGUUGGUGUGUGUUCACGGCAGAAAGAGAUGCUCUCUCUUCCAUCAGGGUGUCUGCCUGGAUCUUAGUAGACCCAGAACUGUGAGGUUCUGAGGCCAGAUCACUUGUCUAUUUUCAAAGUGGAGAGACGUGGGCCCAAGACCGUCCUGUGACCAAACCUCCAUCCUCAUGAUCAGAGCUGGCUAGAAACCCUCAACUGAGUCAGAGGCCGUCACCUGGGUCUGAUCUUCUCUGUCCCAGACAGAACUCCCUAUCUCCCAAGCUGAGAUGCCUCCAAACUUCUGGGAGAGUUGUCCCUUUCAGGAAUGAACUGUCAGCUGCCCCACUGCAAAAGUGUCCUCUCAAGGCCGUCACCGGCCAUGAACACACAUCAUUGUUUCAUUUCGCCUUUGGGGGUAACUCACAUCCCCUCAAGCAGGGUCACCUUGGAACAAGAAGCAGGAUGGUUAAGCUUGGAGGAAGGAAGGUGGAGAUACCAAUUGCAUAUAAUAGCCUAUUUGGAAAAGAAGCUCGGGCUCUCUGGGAGUCAGCAUACAAUCACUGGGGGCUAGGAAGGGGAGGACACCGAAAGAGCCAGUUCUAUAAGGGACUAAGGAGUAUGAGAGCUGACAUCCAUUCAGUUCACAAAUGUGUUUGCAGUUGGCAUGAAACCUUCUUUGAUGGAGUGUUUUCUCUAAAUA